rnacentral:rRNA from 1 species
ACUGAGCGGCGGACGGGUGAGUAACGCGUGGGUAACCUACCUCAUACAGGGGAUAACAGUUGGAAACGGCUGCUAAUACCGCAUAAGCGCACAGUACCGCAUGGUACCGUGUGAAAAACUCCGGUGGUAUGAGAUGGACCCGCGUCUGAUUAGGUAGUUGGUGGGGUAACGGCCUACCAAGCCGACGAUCAGUAGCCGACCUGAGAGGGUGACCGGCCACAUUGGGACUGAGACACGGCCCAA